UGCAGGUUGUGUCCAGGAAGCCUUGCCGGGCCUCCACCUCCCUCCCUUGUCCCCUGCUGUCCUCAUCCUGGGCUUGUCAUCCGGAGGAAACACCACACUGCGAGCACUGCCAGAGGGGCGCCUGGUGCACAGCAGGAACUGCCGACCUCACUGCCACCGGGGCCCUGCCCUCACCAGGAGCUAAUAACCUGCGGGCUGGCACGGCCACGCUGUGGAAGGCAGACAAUGUCACCCACUUUGCCACAGAGGUGGCCAUGUCAAAUGUGCACAGCCAGCCCCAAGCCUGUGCACAUGUGCCCAUGGAUCCCACAGACUUGUGACUCAGAAGGAGCAGCUCCUGGCACCCAGGGUCCUGGGUCCUGCCCUGGGCCAGCUAUGCUGGUUUAACUCCUCUGCAUUUUGUCCCCUCCUCUGGGAGGAGCAGAGAGCAGCAGCCCCGUCGUGGGCACGCUCUGAAGAUGAGGCCUCAGUCAGUGAGCACUCAGCAAUGGCAUCAUGGCAUCAUCACUCGCCUGGAGCCCCUCCUAGGGCUCCCCUGACGCCCUGCCCGCCGCCUGCCAUGUGGAGCCUCUGCUUUCUCGGUGCCUGGACAGAGGCCAGGUGGGCAGGGGAGCACUUGGGGAACCUGCCUGGCCUGGCCCAGCCCAGCCAGACCAAGCAGCUGUCACAUGGUGAGAAGACCAGCUGGUGCGGAACCCGUGGGAGCCAGAGGAGGAGGAGGUCGGGCGCAGCCCCGGCCCAUGGCCCUGUCUGUCCCAGGCUCCUAGCAGGUGCCUGGGCACACCUGCCCAGGGAGGGCACUAUGGACAGGAGCUCCCCGGGUAAACAGCCGGCUCCUGGUUCUCCUCUCUGACUAUGAGCGGUGAAAGUGUCUGUCCCCAUUCAUCUUUGUGAGAAAGCACCAGGCUGAUGUAAUUAAGCCCGUGCAUCUGGUUGCCAUAGCGUUCCUGCCAGGGCCAGCCCCAUCAGCGGCAGAAGUGGGUCACACGUUUGCCUCCUCCUCGUUCUUGGACUUCUGUAAAAUAACGAUGAAUCAGAUCCACGUGUGCACCUCGGCUGUUUCCUGAGCUGUCCAGGUCCGUGAUGAGCUGCCAGCCAGAGGGGGUGCUCUGCCCACUGGCUCGUCCCUUCUGGGUGCCAAUUUAUCUCUGGGUUCCAAGGUCUGCUGGCAGCUUCCACGGUGGAGGACUGUGCACCUCACACACAGCCAUGGGAAGUCCUUCAGGUAGUCUGACCUUGUGCCUUCCCUGUGCUGUCUGACCCAGGCUGUGCUGCAGUGCACGGACCAGGGAGGCCUGUAGAUCGUGAGGGUGGGUGGGGCUUGGUUCAGUGUGUGCUGCCUCUUUAAUUGGCCUGGGGCUGGGGAGCCAGCAUGGCGUCCUGCUCUCCGUCCUGCAGGAUCUCAUAGAGCACAAGGCUGAGCAUUCACAGAGCAUGUGCCUGGGCCAGGCAUGGAGGACUCAAAGGUGAACAGCCAUUCACUGCCUUCAUAAGGGGGCUAAUGUUUUGCAGCUCCAAGAUGCUAGAAAAUGAGAAGAAAGCACAGCUAUCCCCACCCAACAUCUUCAAUAACCUUGCUGAGAAAGAGUCUUUGCAGGUGUAAUUAAGUUAUAGAUCUAGAGGUGAGAUCAUCCUCGAUUAGGUGGUACCAGAAUCUAACGACAAAUGCCCUCAUAAAAGAGGAGAGAAGACAGAAGAGAAGAGCCCACGUGAGGCAGAGGCUGGAGCGAUGCAGCCACAGCCAAGGAACCACCAGGAGCUGGAGGGGGCAGAGAGGACCCUCCCCUAGAGCCUCCAGAGUGAGCACGGCCCAGAUCACAGCUGGAGUUCAGAUCCCUGUGGCCUCCAGAACUGUGGGAAUCAAUUUCAGUUUUUUAAAACCAGCAAGUGUGUGAUAAUUGGUUAUGACAGCUGCAAGAAAC
rnacentral:lncRNA from 1 species